ensembl:snRNA
GCGUUGUAGGAAAGGAGAGAAAGCUAGCCCUCCCCUUGACAAGACUGGUAGAAGCUCUUGAGCCUGACAACACGCAUGUGGUUAAGCCACAGCCACCUACUUCGUGGCAUCUAACCAUCAUUUUUG